UACGGAGGAGGCAAGCGUUAUCCGGAAUUAUUGGGCGUAAAGCGUCCGCAGGUGGCACUUCAAGUCUGUCGUCAAAGACUGGGGCUUAACCCUGGAAAGGCGGUGGAAACUGACGAGCUUGAGUACUUAAGAGGAUCGCGGAAUUCCCGGUGUAGAGGUGAAAUUCGUAGAUAUCGGGAGGAACACCAGUGGCGAAGGCGGCGAUCUGGGAAGAUACUGACGCUGAGGUGCGAAAGCGUGGGGAGCAAACAGG
rnacentral:rRNA from 1 species